rnacentral:lncRNA from 1 species
UCUGGUUCGGGUCUGAUACACCACAUAAACUUUUUUUAAGGUCAUCUAGAGCCAUUGUUCUGAACACUUUGAUUGAUCCUCUGUUCUGUAUUACUAUUAAUACUGAUUAAAACAUUAUUAUUAAUAUUAAUACAGAUAUUAAUACUGCAGGACCCAGUGAUCUGGUUUAUGCAAAGAUUGAUUUACAGGACAAAAAGAAGACCAAGGACAAAGGUAGACACACAACAAAACUGCAUUUGGACACAAUGAUUCAUCACAUUUAACUUCUCAUAGAAUCAUUUUAUCAGAAAAAUAAACCCCUUUAACCCUUUCAUAAAGACUGAUAGAAACAAUUCACUUGUUUAGAAACACAGAAGCACGCAACAUUCACAUCUGUCUGUUUCACUGGUUCUGCUUUCCUGAAUUUAGAUCAGAAAUAAAACCGGUUUAUAAUCAGAGUCAGAUAACCAACCUCUUUCAUGACAGCUGCUGGACUUACUAAUAUUCUGAUUACAGAUCAUGUGAAAAUGUUUAAACUAAUAAUAUAGCCUAAAUAUUUUACAGAACCUGCUAAUAAAAUAAAAUAAUUAUGAUUGAUUAUAAUUAUUUUAUUGUUAUUGAUCAUUUGUGUUCUUCAGGUGCUGAUGCUGGUGAUGAAACUUGUGCUCAACCUUUGAGGAAGAAGAAUAAAACAUGUCUCUGAGUGCAGUGAAGACAACAGACGGCUAAAAGAGAUUCACAGCAGCAGACACAGUGACGCUUGCAUUGCUUCAGAAAUGAAUCUGAGUGAACUGCUUACACACGUGCUUGAUUCAGUUACUUUAGAGAUACAUAUGCACUGUUAUCUCUAAACAUAUUACGUAAGCUAAACAAAUGGUUCUGUAGCAUAUUAAUUAAGAUCCAGCGCCAAAUGCCAGCUCUCAUCAGAAAAUAUCAGUUUUGUCUGGUAACUGUAACGCCACACACGCAGAGGAAGACCUCACCUGAGUACUGACUGUUCAUCGCUCCCUCUGCGUCUACAAUCGUUUCAUGUUUGGCACUAUUUAACACUGUCUAAAACUGCCUGUUUUCAUGUUCUUCUUGGAUUGCCCCUUUAGA